GUUAAAACACAGUUUCUCGUACGAUCACCGAAGUUAAGCAUGGUUGAGCCCUGCUUGUAGUUAAAUGGGUGACCGCUUGAGAAUAUCAUCUGCUGUAA